AAAACAGUGCAAAUUCAAUAUAUUGCAAUCUUCUGGUAGGCCU
rnacentral:ncRNA from 1 species